UGCGUAGGCGGCGACGUGUGUCAGAGGUGAAAGCUCACGGCUCAACCGUGGAAUUGCCUUUGAAACUGCAUCGCUUGAGUCCGAGAGAGGAUGAUGGAACUCCUGGUGUAACGGUGAAAUGUGCAGAUAUCAGGAAGAACACCGGUGGCGAAGGCGGUCAUCUGGCUCGGUACUGACGCUGAGGCACGAAAGCUAGGGUAUCGAACG
rnacentral:rRNA from 1 species